rnacentral:rRNA from 1 species
CGCCUGGGGAUGGGGGCGCGGCCCAUCAGGUAGUUGGUGGGGUAACGGCCUACCAAGCCUAUGACGGGUAGCCGGCCUGAGAGGGUGGCCGGCCACAGUGGGACUGAGACACGGCCCACACCCCUACGGGGGGCAGCAGUGGGGAAUCGUGGGCAAUGGGCGAAAGCCUGACCCCGCGACGCCGCGUGGGGGAUGAAGCCCUUCGGGGUGUAAACCCCUGUCGGGGGGGACGAUGCGGCCUGGGGCGAAUAGUCUCGGGUCGUGACGGUACCCCCAGAGGAAGGGACGGCUAACUACGUGCCAGCAGCCGCGGUAAUACGUAGGUCCCGAGCGUUGCGCGAAUUCACUGGGCGUAAAGCGUCCGCAGCCGGACGGGUAAGCGGUUCGUCAAAGCCCACGGCUCAACCGUGGAACGGCGUACCGAACUGCCCGUCUUGAGGCACGCUCAGGCAGGCGGAAUUCCCGGUG